CUUAGAUUAAUCAAACUUUACGGUAUAACACAAAGGGUUAUUUUGGUUCAUGAGUUUACAUGCUGUAGACAAAUGGAAAUAUUUUCAAAAAUGUUAAUGACCUAACUUGUGAUUAUACCCUGAAAGGUGUGGUCUUCAAAACUCAUUUGUUCCUCAAUGAUUUUAAAAUGCUUCCAGAGAACACAAGCAAGAAUAUUAGCAAAAAAAACCCAACAAACUAGAAGCAUGUAAUGCAAAAUGUUUGCAGAAGUAUGUUCUCUAGGAUUGUAUGCGUUAAAUUCAUAAAGAUUGAUUGGGCUUGGACUAUGUAUGGGAUUGAAACUUUUUUGCCUGUCUCUUGAUUUCUAAUUUCUUUGCCAAACAAUUUUGAACACCAGUGAUGAUUUAUCCUGGCCCUCUGUAGCUGUGUUUUCAUUUUUUAGUUCCGUUUCAGAGGAAGUUAAUGAAAUUUAGGGUGCUUUUGUGCCCAAGUUUUGCAAUUUAUACUGAUAGAGUUAAAAUGUCAAAACAUAAUAGUAAUUGAUUAAUAUUAGUUUAAAAACAGUUAUAAGAGUUCAGGAGGGUGAAAUCUCACUUACAUAAAUCCUCCUUGCUCCAGGUCAACUACAGCUUUUAUUACCAUGAGCAAAGCCAUAAUGCCAUAGUAGUGCAACCAAUUAUAUCUAUUUUUAAACUUAAUAUCUAAGACACUUAAGAAAAUGUCACCUGUAUAUUUUUGUUCUCAUAUUCUUUUCAACUAAUAGGCAUAAGUAACCAACUUUUGAAGCUAGCUCUGCCUCACCACUAAGUACCACAAGUACAAAGUUGAUUGCUUCUUUAAAUUAUAUUUAUUAUGACCCUGUGGAAUGGAGUACACACUUAUUUCACUGGAUAAAUGGAAAUUUGAGACCUCUAGGCUAUAUUCAUAGCUACUAGCUACAAAAAAUAAUGACCACACGUUGCAAAUAAAAGCAACACAAUAUUUUGUUGUCAAUUGUCUUACUAUACAUCAAAUGCAUUAUCUGCAAACUGUCACAGUCCAGUUCUGUGUAUUAUUUUAUUGCAUUUCAAUAUAAUUAGGAGUAAACAUAAUAACAAUAUUUAAUCUGUUUUGGUUUUCCCUUCAAAUUCUUCAGUCUGAGAAAUUAUGUGAGCUAACAACUUGAUUUCAACAUAGAAAUGGUUUAGGACAGCAUUUAUUAUAUUUUUUUCUUUUUCUCCAACAGGGAUUUUCUUUCUCUAGCAACAAGAAAAACUCUAUAUAAAACAUGAAUAAAACGAAUUAUCUUCUACUGAAAUCUAAAUUUUAAACCCAAAAGUAAAGGAGACCUAGGCUAAGCUGAAUUAGACACAGGUGCGUUAAGUCUUGACAAAACCGACUGAUCAACGUAUUUCAAGCUGUUUUUUACUCUUUUUUUCUUGCUGUUUGCUCUAAAAUUCCUGUGAGUAUAUAACCAGAAUUGCCUUUUUGCUUUUUUGACACUAAUUGAGACAUAUCUUAAUUUGAAUCCUUCUGAGGGACAUUUCCCUGGGCACUUCGUUGAGGCUGUUACGCGAGAUCACGACUUGCGUCAGGCAGCUUGCAAGGUUAAAGCAGCCUCCCAAAUAAUCAGUAACUAGGCAGCGAAAUUAAGUUGUAGCGAUGAAAAAUACCGCGUGGUUUGUGUUUUUUUUCCCUGUUCAACGUUACAAAGAACCUUUUUUUGGUACUUUUUGAGUUGCGAAGCUGCUGGAGGCCGUGAGGGAGUAGCGCUGCCUGGGGCGCCCUCUAGCGGCGCCGCUGAGGGAAAUGCAGCCGGCGCCGGGAGCAGGCCCCGGCUCCUCACGGGAGAAACGCUGCGCCUCCAAAAUAAAGGUUUUAUAGCGCCUGCGGGAUUAUCAACGCAUUAAACAGCUUUGGUGAGCACUGGGAACCUGACAGGCAUGGGAAUUAAAAAACUUGCCAAAAGAGAAGAGAGAAGAGAGAAGCCUGGUAGAAAAGAAAGAUGGGUCUUCCAACAUCCGGAUUAAUACCUGAUUAACUGCACCUCUGUUGUUCUCCAGCUACAGGAAAUCACUUGUAAUUGCAUUAAGUUGGAAGGAAAUUUAUUUUUAUUGUGGCAGGUAACAGAAUAGCCUUUUAGUAUCUUUUGUUUGGAAUAUUUGAAUAGAUAUGCAAUCCUGUUAGUGUGCAUCAUUCUGAAAUUUAUAGCUUUCCACUAGAAGCUAAUUUAAAAUAAUGAAAAAAAUAUUGUUUAUUCUAGCAUUUUUGCAUGUCUAGACUGCUUCUUAAACACAAGCUGUGCUGUAAAGUAGAGCUAAAGACACAAUAUAUUUCAGCUUUCUUAGUUUGUUUCUAUUUUGCAAGACAUAAAUCCCCAGACACUCUUAAAGAUGCAAAGAACAGCACAGUGCAACUUGUUACGUUUACAAAAUGUAUUUAAAUGAACAGUUUCUGCAGAUUCCUAUUACUCAGUUUGCUGUUAUCAAGGACAGGUAUUUCAUUAAUUCUUAGCUGGAAGACUCGGUCUGAUUUUGAUCUUAUUUGAGUCAUUUUAAGCUGCCACCUGUAUUGUCAUGGAUAUCAUUGCUGCAGGCUGCAGCAGGGAGCUGGGCCCACGAGUUCCCCCUGUCCUGCCUGGCACAGCCCCUGCCAAAGCCCUGCCCUUUGUGUGUGCGUGCAGCAACUCUCAAAGCAGAGCAUAAAAAUUAAUGUGUUUUAUACAUAAUUCAUGGCAUUUAAAAAACAUUGUCACUUGACAGCUGAGUUGAUAAUAAAAUUAGUUUGUUCUACCUCCCGCCGUUAAGUAUGGGACUUCCAGAGCUGUGUGUUUUAAUGGCUCUGGCAACACCUCUGUGAGAUGAUAACCACCACUGGUGCCUGGCUCUCCCUCAAAAAUCUGUGUAUUUAGAAAUUGAGACCCUUCUAAAAAUAAUGCAGUCUAAACUUCCUCCCUCUCAGCAAUAGGUGUAUAAUGUCUCCAGUCCUGGAAUGGAAGGAGUGGGGUGCACAUAGACAUGUAACAAUUGUUCAUCUCGAUUUGUGGCUGUAGGGUUUCUUUUUUCAUACUUCUGUCAUUUCUAGUUAUUGUUGUAUAUGACAUAAAGUGAUUUGACCUGAUGUUUUGCCAGUUUCUUGGCCAAAAAAAAAGAGUAUUUCCACAAAUAAUUUAGAAAAAAGAUCAGCCAUUGUAAUUAGAGAGUACUGCAAAGGGUUGGACUUGACAGACCCAGAUCCACUGUUUGUGUUUAUUAGCAAAUCCAAAUACAGGACCAACUGCCAUUGAUGGAGCAUGGUGCAACAGACUUAAACACUUCUCCCAGAAAAGGUAAAACUUGGGAAUUUCCAUUACUGAGAAGCAGAAGCAAAAUAUGAGCUAGUGCUCAAAAACCAAAGAGGCAUUUAUUUUACAUUUCCACUAAAUGGAAUGAGGAAAUAAGGAGAGAAAGAAACUGUUGUUCAUUUAAGUAUAUGGAGAAUAAAAGUCAUAUUUGGGACUGAGGCAAAAUCCUAGCAAAAGCUGUGGUAUGAUAUGGUUGCAAUUUGCUCUCUGAGUUUUUCUGCUGUUCUGACAGCAAAGAAGAAACAAAGCAGAACUCUGUGAGGCCUUCAGCACAGAAAGACCUCCAACCUUAUCUGUCAGGCUGGUGAAAGCAGCUCCUUUUUGUUCCCUGCACCAGUCUCCACACAGCCCCCAUCCCUAGCACCGAAGGGAAAGCUUGAGUCUCUUAUUUUCUUGCAUAGAGAUAUAAAAGUGAAUUACAAUCUUUCUUUGCAGCUGUCAUCAUGUGGCCUCUCAAUGACUUAUCUGGCGACCAAAGUAAGGCUACUCAAGCAAUAUAUUUUACGUGACCUUUGCAAAAAUGCUGAGAAUUCGUCCUACAGGCAGUGCAUUUUUAUUAACAGGUUUUUCCAUGACUGUAAAGCCAGGAGUUGUAUAAUAUCCAUGAGACUCUUACAUUCUGAGAAGUUAAUAAAAAAAGCUGGCAUCUGUGGGAAGAAGCACAAUAAUUGCAAUCAGGGGAAGGCAGGGGCAGCCCCUGCUCUGCAAGGCAGCAGCUCCCUGCAAGGCAACCGGCCCAGAAGUCUCAGGGACCUGCUAGGACACAAAUUGCUCUUAAUCAGCCACGGUGCUUACGGCAUCCUGAGGAAUGAGCUGAAGGCGCUCUAUGGAAACCAUAGUUCUGAGAGUUUGUCUGUUAAGAGCAAGGUUUAGAAAGGAAGCAAGCUUGACCUUCACAGUAUGCAAAACUUUGGCAAUGGUCCUAGCUCUUUUCACAUGUGAAUAGUUCCUGUGGGGCCUCUUCAUGUGCUCAGAGUAACAAACAAUUUCAGGACUUAGACCUUGAUCUGAAUCAAGGGUAGCAGCAAUACCUUCUGAUGAUCAGAAGCAAUUUGUUCAUAGCACUCUUCAGUUUUGUGAUGUAACUGCUCUGGUUUGUAAAGUGUUCUUAACCUUUUCCAGGGUUUCUCCCCAGUAUCUGUUAAAUAAGCCACCUACUACUUACUCUUUCUUUUCCUUUUUUUUUUUUAAAUGAAAUAACAACCUUUUACUAAAUAUGACUUCUGGCUGUGCAUUUCCAACACAGUUGAGACAGAAUGAUGGAUCCACUGUAGCUUAGACACCCCUUGGAAAGCUGGACAGGUCACUGCCCCCAAGAUUUGCCCGUUGCUUUCUUUCUGGACUGGCUGACACUAUCACAGUUGUACUCUUGAAGAGGACAAACCAUCCUGAAAGUCAUUUCUAUCCAAGCAAUCCACAGAAAUUCCUUCCCCAAUUGCCUCUUCUUAGUUGUAAAAUACAGUUGUCCAUUAUGGACUUUGCUAUUUCAGAAAUCCUCUGUAACAGCAGCUCAGUGAAAUGGGUAUUAACAAAAUUGAGAGCCAGUCCUCAUCUGUAUGGCACCAUCAUGAUGUAAACCAAACACACAGAGAUGCACUCUGCUUUUGAUUUUUUUAUUCUUUUGUGGUUUCUAUAUAUCCCAUUUUAUUACAAAAUGUUGAUAAGUAAGUCUCACUGACUGCUGGGUGUUAGUCCCAGCAGCAUGGUGCACAGCAGCCAGGACACAAACCCUAAUUUGUGGGCAAUGUUCUGUUUGUACAUAACAAGGCACCUCUGCCAUCUGUAUGUAUGUGGGACAAAAAUAAUGAAGUCAUAACUUCACUAAAUUCACAGAAUUUAGCAGCCAGUAGAGUAAAAUACAAUGGGCAUUUGGUUAGAGUCAGGCGACUGAAAUACGAUAUGGAAAUAUGACCUAGAAGAAAAGGCAUUACAUCUGUUCUGGAGCAUUUCAGCAUGGUUAAUGGCCAUGCAAUUGUUCAUUCCGAGUCCAUACUCAAAGGAUCUCACUGAAUAUAUGAGUUAACAGGUAAGAUGGAGACAAUUCACUGAAUGACUGGGGAUUUUCAGAAGCUGGUUUUAGAACUUGCCCAUCCUCUCACUUACAUACCUUUUCUUCAGAGAAAUUCUGGCAUUUAAACUAUAUUUAGCGAUAAAAGUGAGGCAUCACCUACAUCUUGCUACAGUGAAGAAGGUAAAAUAAGGCUUUCACAGACAUUUUCAUACUAUUUUUAAAGGAGAACACAUGAAAAAUGUGUGCUGUUAGGGUAAGUGCAAUGUCUUCUCUUUAUCAGAAGAGUUUAAAACUGUCUUGUCACCCGAGUACAGAAAAAAAUCCUCAAUUAUUUACAAAUAAUUAUCGUGUUCACUGAGAAGUGCCUACUGCAGGCAUCUGGCAAAAUACUGCAAAUAAUACAAGAUACUCAGAUUAUUAAAAUCAACACCACGAAUUAACUAUUAAUUAAAAUGUAUUUUCAUGCAAGCUGAACUCAGCACCACAACCUGACUGUGCCAUCACUGAUCCCUGAUCACUGAACUGACUUCACUCGG